GACGAACGCUGGCGGCGUGCUUAACACAUGCAAGUCGAACGGUGAAGCGCCUUCCUUUUUGGUUGGUGUGGAUGAGUGGCGAACGGGUGAGUAACACGUGAGUAACCUGCCCCCUUCUUCUGGAUAACCGCAUGAAAGUGUGGCUAAUACGGGAUAUUCUGGGUCUGUCGCAUGAUGGGUCUGGGAAAGAUAUUGUUUCGGUGGGGGAUGGGCUGGCGGCCUAUCAGCUUGUUGGUGGGGUGAUGGCCUACCAAGGCGGUGACGGGUAGCCGGCCUGAGAGGGUGGGCGGUCACAGUGGGACUGAGACACGGAGGAGACUGCGACGGGAGGCAGCAGUGGGGAAUAUUGCACAAUGGGCGAAAGGCUGAUGCAGCGACGCGGCGUGAGGGAUGGAGGCCUGCGGGUUGUGAACCUCUUUCGGCAGUGAAGCGGGCUUGCCUAGUUUGUGGGUGGGUUGACGGUAGCUGGAGAAGAAGCGCCGGCUAACUACGUG
rnacentral:rRNA from 1 species